GGACAUAGCAGCUGAUACCUACGAUGGACGGCUUACCAGCUCACUCGUGAAUGAAUCAGAAAUUUGCGGAAGAGGCCAGGAGAAAGAAGAACUAGUCAACAUCCUGCUCUCUACUGCAGACAAUCUCCCUAUUUAUGCUAUAUGGGGAAUGGGGGGACUAGGAAAAACAACACUUUCUCAAAUGGUCUACAAUGAAGAAAGGGUUAAACUGCAAUUCAGUUUGAGGAUCUGGGUGUGUGUAUCUACUGAUUUCGAUGUAAGAAGAUUAACAAGAGCCAUCAUAGAGUCCAUUGAUGGUGCCCCUUGUGGUCUUCAAGAAUUGGAUCCCUUGCAACGGUGCCUCCAAGAGAAGUUAAAUGGAAAGAAGUUUUUGCUUGUAUUGGAUGAUGUGUGGGAUGAUUAUGGUGAUAGGUGGAAUAAAUUGAAGGAGGUAUUAAGGGGUGGAGCUAAAGGUAGUGCUGUAAUAGUAACUACACGUAUUGAGACGGUUGCUCGUAGAAUGGCAACAGCUUUUGUCCAGCACAUGGAGAGAUUGUCUGAAGAAGAUUCAUGGCAUUUGUUUCAACGGCUUGCAUUUGGGAUGAGAAGGAAAGAGGAGUGGGUACAUCUGGAAAACAUUGGAGUAUCAAUAGUGAAGAAGUGUGGUGGUGUUCCUUUAGCUAUAAAGGCACUCGGGAACCUAAUGCGGCUAAAAGAAAGGGAAGAUCAGUGGAUAGCUGUCAAAGAAAGUGAGAUUUGGGAUCUAAAAGAAGAAGCAAGCGAGAUUUUACCUGCUUUAAGGUUGAGUUACACUAAUCUAUCACCACAUUUGAAGCAAUGCUUUGCGUAUUGCGCUAUAUUUCCAAAAGAUCACGUGAUGGAGAGGGAGGAGCUGAUUGCUUUGUGGAUGGCAAAUGGCUUUAUUUCUUGCAGUGGAGAAAUGGAUUUGCACUUCAUGGGUAUUGAGAUAUUCAAUGAACUAGUGGGAAGGUCAUUUCUGCAAGAGGUCGAGGAUGAUGGAUUUGGCAACAUAACAUGUAAAAUGCAUGAUCUUAUGCACGAUCUUGCACAAUCCAUUGCAGAACAAGAAUGCUAUAUGACAGAAGGCGAUGGGAAGUUGGAAAUUCCUAAAACUGUCCGUCAUGUAGCUUUUUAUAACAAAUCAGUAGCUUCGUCUUCUGAAGUUCUCAAGGUCCUAUCACUUCGCUCACUUCUUUUGAGGAAUAAUGCUCCUCGGAAUGAAUGGGGAAAGAUUCCUGGUCGAAAACAUCGAGCCUUGAGUUUAAGAAAUAUUCCGAAGUCAAUUUGUGAUUUGAGACAUCUAAGGUAUCUAGAUGUGUCGGGCUAUACUACUAUCAAAACACUGCCUGAAAGUAUAACCUCACUUCAAAACCUCCAGACACUAGAUCUGAGAAAUUGCACUUAUCUCAUCCAUUUACCAAAAGGUAUGAAGCACAUGAAAAGUCUUGUCUAUCUUGACAUAACGGGUUGUUAUUCACUCCGAUUUAUGCCUGCUGGAAUGGGGCAAUUGAUAUGCCUGCGAAAACUUCCCCUGUUCAUUGUGGGUGGGGAGAAUGGUCGUCGCAUAAAUGAGCUGGAAAGGCUGAAUAAUCUUGCUGGUGAAUUGAGUAUCGCAGAUCUUGUGAAUGUUAAGAAUUUAGAAGAUGCCAAAAGUGCCAAUUUGAAGUUGAAGACAGCUCUUUUAUCACUGACUUUAUCUUGGCAUGAGAAUGGAGAUUACCUUUUUGGCACUCGGUCAUUUCCGCCAUCACAACAAAGAAAGAGUGUUAUACAGGAAAAUAACGAGGAGGUCCUUGAAGGGCUUCAACCUCAUUCAAAUCUGAAGAAGUUGAUGAUAUGGGGACAUGAAGGUUCAAGAUUUCCUAAUUGGAUGAUGAACUUGAACAUGACGCUACCAAAUCUGGUAAAGAUGGAGAUAUCAGCAUUUCCCAACUGUGAACAACUUCCACCAUUGGGGAAACUGCAGUUCCUCAAGAGUCUUGUAUUGUGUCGAAUGGAUGGUGUGAAGAGUAUUGACAGCAAUGUGUAUGGAGAUGGGCAGAAUCCAUUCCCAUCUUUGGAGACGCUGACUUUUGAGUACAUGGAGGGAUUAGAGCAAUGGGCUGCGUGUACUUUUCCUCGCCUUCAAUAUUUGACGAUAAUUUAUUGUCGUGUGUUGAACGAAAUACCAAUUAUACCCUCCAUCAAAUCAGUAUACAUCUGGGGAGGCAAGGAUUCAUUACUGAGGUCAGUUAGGAAUCUCACUUCUAUCACCUACCUUCAUAUAGAAGAGAUUCCAAAUGUGAGGGAGCUUCCCGAUGGGUUUUUGCAAAAUCAUACCCUCCUUGAAAGCUUACAAAUUGGUGGGAUGCGAGAUCUGGAGUCUUUGUCAAAUAGGGUAUUAGAUAACCUUUCUGCUCUUAAAAGCUUGAGUAUUUGGGGUUGCAAGAAACUUGAAAGCUUGCCAGAGGAAGGUCUUCGUAACCUCAAUUCCUUGGAGGUUUUACACAUAAAAGGUUGUGGAAGAUUAAAUUGUCUGCCAAUGAAUGGGUUGUGUGGCUUAUCUUCUCUUCGCAAGUUAGCUGUUAGAAGUUGUGAUAAAUUCACAUCUUUAUCAGAAGGAGUGCGGCAUCUGACGGCACUUGAGGAUUUGUUACUUGAUGGAUGUCCAGAGCUGAAUUCAUUGCCAGAGAGUAUCCAACAUCUCACUUCUCUCCAAUCUCUGACCAUUGUGGAGUGUCCAAAUUUAAAGAAAAGGUGUGAGAAAGAUUUAGGAGAGGACUGGCCUAAGAUAGCUCAUAUUCCUAAGAUUAGUUUCAAUUAUAAUUGAUAUGCAAAGUUUGUAAUGAGAAUAAAAUAUAUUUGUUCGUAGUUUUAAUUUGUUGUAAUUGUUUAAAUAAUUUUCUCAAAUUCAUUGUUGUUGUAUUUUUCAUAUAAAUGUGUAAAAAUGAUUGGUUCAUUAUUUGUUUUAAUUGAGACUUGUUUUACUACUGCAAUAAGUUUUUUUCCUUAACACUACUGAAAUACUUGUCAUAAAAAAGAGAGCAUAAAAUUAAGAAAAUUAGAGAGAUGUAAUUUUCAAAACUUCUCAUAAAACAGCCAAUUAAGUUUUAUUUGUUACUUCAAAACAAAACUUGUAUAAGAAAAUCAACUGUUGAGGUUUCUCAACUAAAAUAUCAAUCUCAUAAACAUCCUUUUAGCCUUUAUGAAGACGUAAUUUUACUUAAUUAAUUGAAACUAAUAAUAUUUAAACAAGAGGUGCUGAUUGAUUGAGUCUUGGAUCGAGAAGUAAUGUUACUUAAUUCUGAAUCAAUUGGUAAUAUAUAUGUACUUAAUUUUUUAUUAUUUGUUUUUAUUUAUUUUUAUAUGUCCUUUUUUAAUUAAUAUUUAUUUUAUUUUUAAUUUUUUUAAUUUAUUUUCUUUUUAAUUUUCAUACCUAAUUUUUUUUAUAGAAAAUUGUCCCAAUUCUUUUCAUUAUAAUUUCUUUUGGUUUCAUUUAUCUUCUUAAUUGUUUUUUUUUAGAUUCACCCCUCAUUGUUUGAUUUCAUUUAUUUCCAUGCCAAAUUUAAUAUUUAUUUUUUCGAUCAUUGUUUUUCAACCCAAUCUAGGAAUCAAUCCCGAGCAAGUUCUAGGUCACGGAUCGAGUGAGAUAGCCAAGAAUACCCAAGUUCUAUUUCACAUUUCUUUAGUUGUGAUUUCAAAUUAAUUAAUUAAUUAAUUUUUUUUUUGAUAAUUUUGCUUCGUAAAUUUGCUGCUCCAGGAAGCUUAGAAAUCCUUGGAAGAGAUGGCCCGUUGUCGUUGUCAUCAUGAUGGUGCAUUAGAUGCUUCGACAACUUGCCUUUGUAUUUCCUAGUAAAUAACUAAAAACAAUCUCUCUCUCAACCGUACUUCGGAAGAUUACUUUACUAACCAACAAGGCCGUUGUCAUAAUUGAUGUGAGGCAACAAUCUAGUGAUAUAAUUGCUUUGCUUGCUUGCUUGCUUCAUGAUUCUGCAUUUUGUGUUGAAUAAUGUAAGGCUAAGUUUCAAUGACUUUUUAUGGAGUCCAUAUUUCCAGUGCCUGGAAAUGGGUUAGAAAAGAUUUUUUAUUUUCUUGAGCAGGUGUCUGCUCAUCCCGAACCUAUCAAACCCAUGAGUACAACCCAAAACGAAUUAGCUCAAGUUAUCAAAAACCAUAGCCUAAACUUAUCAACAUUUAUCAAGGAAAACUUACGCUAGCCCGGUAUUCAUCACAGCCCAAAAUCACAAUCCCAUGCUUCUUUGUUGCAUGAAAAUGGAUCAAAUACUUGAAGCAACUUAAAAUAAUAAUAAAAAAAAUUUAAUUAUGAGUAUUUAUACUUCACAACUAACCCGGUGAUCUUGAAAAAACUCAAACCAGCAACCAUUAAAAAGCAAAAUUCAAGCAUAACUAACUGAAUGCUUCAUCAUGUAAAUCGGUAGGCUUGAUAAAAAAUUUAUUUAGGUACAGAUUGUUAUGCAUUACCAAUCCUAAGAAUUCAGUCAUUCCUACUAUUUUAUUUUCCCCCGCAUGAAUUUUUUUCAUCUCCGUAAAUAAACCCAAUCCAUGCAUAUAUGUAUUAGAUCCUAACAAAUGAAAGUAGAUAUAAGACAUAAUUUCUUUGGAAUUUACAAACAACAAAGACGAAUUUUUUUUGGAAUUUAUGUUUUUAUUUAAAAUAUAUAAAAAGAAGGGUAAACAAUUGGGUUCUAAUACAGGUUUUUUUUAAUGAUAUCAUCGAUUUCUUUAAAGAUAAUUAUAUGCUAGGUUGAUGUGCAAAAAUUUGAAAAUAAUUUUUUAUUAACAUUGAAUUGAAUGAGAAUAAAAAAUAUAUAUUUUUUUAAUUUUAAUUUUUUGUAAAUUUUUAAAUAAUUUUCUCAAAUUUAUUGUUCUCAUAUAUAUUUUUUAUAUAAAUGUGUAAAAAUGAUUGAUUCAUGAUUUUAUUUUAUUGAAACUUACUUCUAUCAUUGUAAUAAGUUUUUUCUUAAAAAAACAAUACUUCUGAUCAUAAAAAAAUAUAUGUUUUUUAAAAAAAUGCAUGAAUAAGAAAAUUAGGUUUUUUUUAUUAGAAUUAAAAUUUUUCUAUUCUUCUCAGCUCAAAUCGUUAUAGAAUAAGUUUUCUACUACUUUCAAUGACUUCAUCAACUUUGCAAUUAAAUACAUACUUAAAUAUUGACCAAGAUUAAUUUUAUUACAAUAAAAGUCGAUAUAUUAUUGAAGCUCUCGUGCCAUUAAGCAAAUGGUUGCAUGGGAAAAAGGAAAAGUUUUAGAGAAUACAAACCAAAUUAAAUUCAAAGAGAAACAAAAAACAAAUAAAAAAAAAUUAAGACACUAAUUACUCCAAAACAGAACGUGAAUAAGAGAAUCUAUUAUUGAAGGUUAUCCAUGAAUAUACCAAACAAUAAAGAAUGAGCUCAUAAGCAUGAUUUUUUAGUCUGUAUGAAGACGCAAUUUUACUUAAUUAAUUGAAACUAAUAAUAUUAAACUAGAGGUGCUAACUGAUUGAGUCUUGGAUCGAGACGUAAUGUUACUUAAUUCUGAAUCAAUUGGUUAUAUGUGCUUAAUUUGUUUGUUUGUAUGACUAAUUACUACUGCAUCCCGGCGUAAAUCUCAAGGGAAGUGGAAUUAACAAAGAUUAAUAUCAUAAUCUAAACUUCAUUUCUUGCAAGCAAUAUAAUAAAACUAUACCCAAGUCUCAGGUUUAAUUUACUUUCCCUUUGAUUUUCAGCUCCACAACCAUUAUCUUUUAGAUAGCCAAAGGUCAUUUUCCAGGCUAAAAGACCACUAAAACUCGCAAUGUCCAGGCCUCUUCAAGGUAUACAAAGAUGGCCGCAUAGAGAGAUAUUGGAACAUUGACUUCGUUUCAGCAGGCGUUGACACAGAAACGGGGGUCCAUUCCAAAGAUGUUGUGAUCUCACCAGUGACCAACAUCAAGGCUCGUAUUUUCCUCCCAAAAAUCAACGGCCCAGAAAAAAAGCUCCCUCUCCUUGUCCACUAUCAUGGUGGUGGCUUUUGUAUAGGCUCUCCAUUUACUUCUGCCUUGAAGAAUUUUCUUUCAACCCUAGCCACCCAAGCCAAUGUCAUCGCUAUAUCUAUUGACUACAGGUUAGCACCUGAACACCAAUUACCGAUUGCAUACGAUGAUUCAUGGGCAGGGCUUCAGUGGAUCGCGAAACACUCUAAUGGUAAUGGACCCGAGCCAUGGAUUAAUGAAUAGGCGGAUCUCGGGCGGGUUAUUUUAGCCGGUGAGAGUGCUGGAGGCACCAUAGCCCAUUAUGUGGCGGUCCAAGCUGGGGCUGCGGGAUUGCCUGCCAUGGCUAUAGAAAGGUUACUAAUAGUGCACCCAUAUUUUUGGGCUAAGGAGCCAGACAUGUUCUACCAAUAUAUAUGUAUCCAAAAUUGAACCCGGCAGUGGAUCCGAAUUUGUCGAAAUUUCAGUGUGAUAAAGUGUUAGUUUGCGUGGCAGAAAAGGAUAAGCAUAGAAUUAUGAAGCUAUGAGCGAGUGUGGAUGGGGUGGUACUGUGAUUUUUUUAUGAAACUAAAGGGAGGACCAUUGCUUUUAUUUGCUGAAUCCCAGGAGCGAGAGUAUCGAGCCCCUUAUGAAAAUAAUGGUUGAUUUCACUAAUUAUUUUUAAUAAUAUGUUAUUCUACCAAUAUUUUUAAUUUAAUGUGUUAAUUUUUUCUUUUAAAUCAUUCUUUCGCUGUCCUGAUUUCCUCAUUUUAGGUGCAAACAAAGUAAAAUAUCAUAAAGUAAGUAUUUCAUGUUUAUAUUUAAUUAACUAAUUUGGUUUAAUUGAAAAAUAUCUUUUAAAAAGCCAAUUUUAAUAAAGAACAACAAUAAAAAAAAACCCUAAAAUAACCCAAGUUAUUUUCUAAAUUAAUAAGAAAUCUUGUAGAAAACAAAUAAAAACAUAACGGAGUUCAAUAUUUAAUUAAAUAAAUGCUGAAUGACAAAUUAAAAAAAAAACAUGAGUUUAAAAAAAGAAAAAAAACAGGCAAACUCAGAAAAAUCUUUUAAGCCAAAGUUAAUUUUUCAAACUUAUAAGUCAUAAAAUUCUAAACCCGAACUCAGUAUAGAAGCUCAAUCCCCAAUUAAUUUAAUAUUAAAUGAUAUAAUAAAAAAAUAAAUAAAAUUUUAAAAUUCUCUUAAUAAAAAAUAGCAAACAAAAAAACGAGAAUCAAAUUUGAUAGAAAAAAAUUAAUGAGGAUUACAUCAUAAUAAAAAAUAAAUUUUAAAAAUUAUUUCAAAUAAAGUAAAUAAUAAAAAAAAAAAAUUAUGGAUCAAAUAUGACAUAUGAAAAUAUUAUAGGAGGAAUAAAUUGAAAAACAAGUUUUAAUUUUAUAAAUAAUUUCAAAUAAAUAUAUAUAUAUAAAAUAAAUUAAAAAGCUGUUAUAUAAAAAAUUAGAGAAUCAAACAUGAAAAUUUAAAAUAAACGUUUAUUGUCACAAUCGCCGUUGUUAGGUGCAACUGGAUGUUUUUCCUCCACCCUCUCUUCUUUCUCCUUCACGCACCCAAAAGUUCAAAAAGUCUUAACUUUUUGUAUUAUCUCAAUUGUGGUCCUCGAUUUGUUUUAUUCUAUAUUUGCUUUAAUUCUUUUUAUAACUUUUUUUUAAUUUCAUUUUUUAUUAUUUGAUUUGAUUUAUUUUUUUGUUAUAUUUGGUCAUCUUUUUUUAAUUGAUAUUUAUUUUGCUUUUUAUCCUUUUUUUUAUUGAUUUUUUUUUCAAUUUUCAUACCUAAUUUUUGUUUUUUUUUUUAAAUUGUCCCCAUUCUUUUCAUUAUAAUUUUUUUCAGUUUUAUUUAUCUUCUUAAUUUUUUUUAGAUUCACCCCUUAUUGUUUGAUUUUAUUUGAUUUUCAUGCUAAAUUUGAUCCUUAUUUUUUAUUAUUAUUGUUUUUAAACCCAAUUCAAGGGUCAAUCUCGAGCAAGUCCUGGGUCACGGAUCAAGUGGGUUGGCCAGUGAUACCCAAAUAAAUUUAGCCUAGAAUCCAACAGGUGUUAAAAAAAAUCACAAAGAGGUCGUGCCCUUAUUUUUUUAAUCAUGGUUUUUAAACUUGACUUGGAGGUCGACUUUUAGGCAAGUUUUGGUUCAUAGGUCGGGUGGGUUGACCAGGAUUACCUGAGCAACUUUUUUUUAUUUUACAAAUAUGUAAAUAUGACAUUAUUUUAGCCAGAACUUUACAAAAAAAUUCAAUAGUUUUUAAGAAAAUUUAACAAAAUAUAUUAUAAGGUUGUUUGGUUUUAGUAUUGCGGUAAUAAUUAUUUUUUAAAUUAUAUUUUGUUUGAAAAUGUAUUAAAAUAAUAUAUAUAUAUAUAUUAAAAUUUAUUUUUAAUAUAAACACAUGAAAAUUAUUGAAAUUUAAAAAUACUAAAAAGAUUUUAUUUCAAAACAAAGAUAAAAAUAAAAUAAAUAUUAUUUUUUUAAAAUCACUAUUAAAACUAAUACUCUGAUUAGAAGUUACAGACAAAGGGGGCUGCUUCUUCAGGCUCAGGCUUUGAAUGCAAAUGGAAAGUCAUUCAGCUAAGCAAAGACAUCCUGUAAUGUCCCAAUUGAUAAACUGCAAUAAUUUCUAAUAACAUCUUGUCAUUAUUAAGAACAAGCAUCACUAUUCAAGUCGUAUUAGGUCCGCUAAUUCACUAGAAAGUAGAAAACACUUUGAUGGAAAAAUACUUUUUUAAAAACCAUUUUUUUUAAAAAAACACAAUCUUAAUAUCCUGAUUCUAUCGCAAAGGUUUUUCGUAGUAAAGAAUAGUUCUUUCUCCCAUAAAAUUUCUUCCUUUUCUGGCAUUUUUUAUAGUCACAGAUUUUUCUCGAUUAUUUCAAGUAGACAGGUAAGCUUUCUCCCAUUAUCAACAUUAUCGCAGUGGUUGUGCUUAUCAGGUUGGAAAUCCGACGGUGAGCAACCUGUCAGUGAAUGAUCAGGGUUGAACUGUAUGAAUUUCAGUUUGGGUGGCAAAUUAGGAAAAACAUUCUAAGAGGGUCAAAAUUUAAAAUUUUUAUUAUUAAAACUAAAAAUCUAAUUUGUUACAGGGAAGGCUGGAAAAAAAAAAAAAUUACUUGCAGGAGCCGCGGCCCUGCCAGCCCCCUGCUUCUGCCACUGGGAGCAACUCACAAACAUGAAAUUAUCUUAGCAGCAUCAGAAAAGGUAGAAGGAGGAGAUGCACACAGUAUUAAGACUACAGUCCACUUCGAAAUAUGUCAUUAAAAGUCCGUUGUCAUAAAUGAUGAGAGAGAAAUACAGAGUCCACUCACGAGAGAUGAGCAUAAAAUAUGUCAUCAUAUGCAUAGCUAGUCAAGUCUGCACCGUGUGGAGCCCAGGCGGCUUGGCCAGUGCGGGACGAAGAUUCUUAGAAUUUAUUAAAAUAAACGAAAAACACGUCAUAGCAAAUAUAUCUCGUUUACUUUAUUGAUAUUAAAAACUAUUAUAAUAUAUUUUUAUAUAAAAAUUACCUUAAAAAACAAAACCUUUUAUUUUCUAAAACACACCCAAUACUAGAAACCAAAUUCCCAAAAAAAAAUAAUCAAAAUAAUUACAAUCGUGAUCAUACAUUUCAUGCCAUGAGACAUACUCGGAAACACCAUCCCGUCAAAUUUGGAACGUGCUCUUUUUUUUCCCCCCUGUAUUUACUUUAAAUUCUUUUUAUACUUGUUUUAAUUUUAUUCUUUAUUAUUUAUUUGUAUAUCAAAUUUAACCUUUUUUUAAUUGUUAUUUAUUUUGUUUUUUUUAUUGAUUUUCUUUUCAAUUUACAUAUUUAAUUUUUGUUUUUUUAAAAAAUAUCCAAAUUCUUUUCAUUAUAAUUUCUUUUGAUUUAUUUAUCUUCUUAAUUAUUAUCGUUUUAGAAUCAUUUUUCAUUGUUUAAUUUUAUUUGAUUUUUAUGUCAGCUUCUAUUCUUAUUUUUUUAUCAUUGUUUUUAAACUCGGCUCAAGGGUCCAUCCCAAGCAAAUCCUGGUUCACGAAUCGAGUGAGUUGGACAAGGAUACCCAGAUAAACUUAAGCCAUGUUUGUUUUUUUAAAAAAAUUUAAAUUUUUUUAGUUAUUUUAAAUUUAAUUUUUUUUGUGUUUUUAAAUCAUUUUAAUGCGUUGAUAUCAAAAAUAAUUUAUAUAUAUAUAUAUAUUAUUUUGAUAUAUUUUCAAGAGAAAAACACUUUAAAAAAUAACCGUAACUAUAAUCUCAAAUAAGCUCUUAGCCUAAAAAAUUAUUCGAUGGGUAUAAAAACAAAUUCACAAAGAGGUUGUGUUUUUAUUUGUUUAAUAAAAUUUUUUAAAAGUGAUCUGGAGGUUGAUCCUUAAAAAAGGCUUGAGUCACAAGUAGAAUUACUUGGAAAACUAUUUUUUUAUUUUACAAAUAUGUAAAAAUGAUAUUAUUUUAGUUUAAUUUUUUUUAAAAAAAAAUCAAUAGUUUUUAAUAAAAAUUAACAAAAUAAAUUCAACAAGCUUAAGAAAAAAUUAUAAAGAAUUGAAUGAAAAAAUUGGUCCACUUUUUUUUUAUCAAGAUUUUGAAACCUAGUCCAGGAUUGAUCUCAAGUAGCUAUUGGAUCAUAAAUCAAGUAAAUUCAUCAAUCUAAUUUUUUAUUUUACAAAAAUUUCAAAAUUACAUAAUUUUAAUAAAGAUUUAACAAAUAAAAUCCACAAGUUUUUUUUAAAAUUAACAAUUGCAAGUUGGGCACUACGAGAUAAUAAGCCGUCACCUAACAACAUCAUUUUAUCUUCGAGUAAUAAUUGCAAGUUGUUUCCUCAGCAUUAUUGGACUUAUUGUUGCGUCGCUGUAACUUCUCCGAGGGGACACAACAAGAAAAGGGUCAAAGGACACUUUGGCAUCAAUGGCUGUAGCUGUCGACAUUAUAGGCAUUGGAGCUGUGAUAGUGUAAGAAAUUGGUGGGUAAAGUGGAGCUGUGAUAGGCAUUAUAACAAAAAACAAUCUCUCUCUCAACCAAUAAUUGAUGUGAGAGAAAUAGACAGUUUGCUAACGAGAGAUGAGCAUAGCUCGUCAUGUCUGCACCGUGUGGAGCCCAAGCGACUUGGCCAGCGUGGCACGAAGACUUUUACUAACCAAUAAGCAAAACACAGCCACGUUCCUUCUCUGAAACUGCAGCGAAGCGAUCACUAAUAAUAAAAUGGAUCCAUCACAUUAUCAAUCACUAAUAAAAAGAGAUCGAUAUCAGAAGAAAAGCUCAUCACCAUACACUUUCACCUUUGCUUGCCAUUUCUCAUCUCACGCUGCUCUUUCUACUCAAUAUUUACUUUACCGUUUCUUGCUCACGUCCCCUGCUUUUAGUUUUCCUCGCACCUUCUCUACUUCUUCUCAACAUCCAUUUAUUUUCCAUUCCAAGACAAGCUAUGGCUGAUGCAAUUGUUUCUGCUCUCGCGAGUACAAUCAUGGGGAACUUGAAUUCUUCAAUUCUUCAGGAGCUUGGACUUGCUGGGAGCCUAGAGACUGAUCUUGAACAUCUCGAGCGCACGUUCAUAACUACUCAAGCUGUGCUCCAGGAUGCAGAGGUGAAGCAGUGGAAGGACCAGGCUAUAAAGGUGUGGCUCAGACACCUCAAGGAUGCAGCUUAUGAUGUUGACGAUUUGCUAGAUGAGUUUGCCUUUGAAGCUCAGUGGCAUCAGCAGCGAAGAGAUCUCAAAAAUCGACUAAGAUCCUUCUUUUCUAUCAAUCAUAAUCCUCUUGUUUUUCGACAAAGGAUGGCUAAUAAAUUGAAGAAUGUUAGAGAAAAACUGGAUGCCAUUGCCAAUGAGAAAAACAAGUUCAAUUUAACACCACAAGUUGGGGACAUAGCAGCUGAGACCUACGAUGGACGGCUUACCAGCUCACUCGUGAAUGAAUCAGAAAUUUGCGGAAGAGGCCAGGAGAAAGAAGAACUAGUCAACAUCCUGCUCUCUACUGCAGACAAUCUCCCUAUUUAUGCUAUAUGGGGAAUGGGGGGACUAGGAAAAACAACACUUUCUCAAAUGGUCUACAAUGAAGAAAGGGUUAAACUGCAAUUCAGUUUGAGGAUCUGGGUGUGUGUAUCUACUGAUUUCGAUGUAAGAAGAUUAACAAGAGCCAUCAUAGAGUCCAUUGAUGGU
rnacentral:lncRNA from 1 species